rnacentral:rRNA from 1 species
UAGCACUAUACCCUUUGUGACAUACCUAUAACUGUUGCUUCGGCGGGUAGGGUCUCCGCGACCCUCCCGGCCUCCCGCCUCCGGGCGGGUCGGCGCCCGCCGGAGGAUAACCAAACUCUGAUUUAACGACGUUUCUUCUGAGUGGUACAAGCAAAUAAUCAAAACUUUUAACAACGGAUCUCUUGGUUCUGGCAUCGAUGAAGAACGCAGCGAAAUGCGAUAAGUAAUGUGAAUUGCAGAAUUCAGUGAAUCAUCGAAUCUUUGAACGCACAUUGCGCCCGCCAGCAUUCUGGCGGGCAUGCCUGUUCGAGCGUCAUUUCAACCCUCAAGCUCUGCUUGGUGUUGGGGCCCUACAGCUGAUGUAGGCCCUCAAAGGUAGUGGCGGACCCUCCCGGAGCCUCCUUUGCGUAGUAACUUUACGUCUCGCACUGGGAUCCGGAGGGACUCUUGCCGUAAAACCCCCCAAUUUUCCAAAGGUUGACCUCGGAUCAGGUAGGAAUACCCGCUGAACUUAAGCAUAUCAAUAA